UACGUAGGUGGCAAGCGUUGUUCGGAUUUACUGGGCGUAAAGCGCACGUAGGCGGAUUGUUAAGUCAGGGGUGAAAUCCCGGAGCUCAACUCCGGAACUGCCUUUGAUACUGGCAAUCUAGAGUCCGGAAGAGGUGAGUGGAACUCCUAGUGUAGAGGUGGAAUUCGUAGAUAUUAGGAAGAACACCAGUGGCGAAGGCGGCUCACUGGUCCGGUACUGACGCUGAGGUGCGAAAGCGUGGGGAGCAAACAGGG
rnacentral:rRNA from 1 species